UACAGAGGUCUCAAGCGUUGUUCGGAUUCAUUGGGCGUAAAGGGUGUGUAGGUGGCGCGCUAAGUCGGGUGUGAAAUCUCGGGGCUCAACCCCGAAACUGCACUUGAUACUGCGGUGCUCGAGGACUGGAGAGGAGAUCGGAAUUCAUGGUGUAGCAGUGAAAUGCGUAGAUAUCAUGAGGAAGACCAGUGGCGAAGGCGGAUCUCUGGACAGUUCCUGACACUGAGGCACGAAGGCCAGGGGAGCAAACGGG
rnacentral:rRNA from 1 species